rnacentral:rRNA from 1 species
UACGAAGGGGGCUAGCGUUGCUCGGAAUGACUGGGCGUAAAGGGCGCGUAGGCGGCUUAUACAGUCAGGCGUGAAAUUCCUGGGCUCAACCUGGGGACUGCGUCUGAUACGUAUGGGCUUGAGUGUGAAAGAGGGUCGUGGAAUUUCCAGUGUAGAGGUGAAAUUCGUAGAUAUUGGAAAGAACACCGGUGGCGAAGGCGGCGACCUGGUUCAUUACUGACGCUGAGGCGCGAAAGCGUGGGGAGCAAACAGGGAUUAGAUACCCUGGUAUUCCACGCUGUAAACGAUGUGUGCUGGAUGUUGGGGUGCUUAGCACUUCAGUGUCGUAGCUAACGCGGUAAGCACACCGCCUGGGGAGUACGGCCGCAAGGUUGAAACUCA